UACGGAGGGUGCAAGCGUUAAUCGGAAUUACUGGGCGUAAAGCGCACGUAGGCGGUUUUGUAAGUCAGAUGUGAAAUCCCCGGGCUUAACCUGGGAACUGCGUUUGAAACUACAAGGCUAGAGUGUGGCAGAGGGGGGUGGAAUUCCACGUGUAGCAGUGAAAUGCGUAGAGAUGUGGAGGAACACCGAUGGCGAAGGCAGCCCCCUGGGUUAACACUGACGCUCAGGCACGAAAGCGUGGGGAGCAAACAGG
rnacentral:rRNA from 1 species